CAUAUGCUGGUGUCCUUGCAGCCUCAAUGAAACCUCCCAUCCUGCAAGAUUUGGUUAGCUCAAGUACUCCCACCCUGGGAUGCUUCUUAAAAGAGCUAAACUGAUACUGUGAGACAGACGAGCAGACAGAUAGCAAGAAUAAGCAAGAGGAAGCCUGGCUUUGGCUGUUAUAGACAUCUGAAAGCUGGAGAAAUCAUAAUUUUACCACGCUUUUUGAAGGUGGCAUACAUUGCAUCUAGUUCUGAUUGAGAUUCGUGCUAGAAAAUAAAACUUCCACUCCGUCUGGAAUGUAAAAGAAGCCUUUCAAACUUGCAGUGUUUUUAAUAGAAAUUAAAUGAAUUAACUUAAGCUGGUACCUUACACAUGCAGACAAAGAAUGGAUACCUAAAUAAUCUCAGUUUGUCUCUGCUACAGAUCUUGAUAAAAGGUUGGGCACAGGAUCACUGAAGAAGACCCCAAGUUGUCAAAAAAUGAUUGCAUGUAGUAUAUCUGGACUGUAGUAUAUGCAUGUAGUAUAUCCGGACUGCUAGAGAACAACAAAAAGGUGAGCAUCCAUGAAGGCACUUUAAAGACUCUCUGAAAUCCUCAUCAAGCUUGUGAGAGUAAUUUUUAAACUGUCAGAAUACAACUACACAUCAAGGUAUCUCCAGAGAUGUCUGUGGGCAUUGGAAAUGCAGAGAAUUGGCCUGCAGCCCUACCUGCUCCUCACCAGCUCUUCUGUCCCCACGCACCAGAGUUUACUGUUGCUAAAGGCAAUUAGCUACAGCACAAGGAAGGCUGUAGUCACUGGGCAGGUCAGAAAACUAGAGGCCCUUGUGCACUGUGUGUUCUGAGUUCUGAGUUCCUGCCACAGAUGCCCUAUCACAGUAAUUAGCUGAGGUAUUAUGAUAUCUUGAUAUCUUCAUACACAAGAAAUUGCAUUCAGUAAAUUUAAUGUGUCAUCAGAAGCCUUCCUUCCUGCAGGCCGGGUGAGCAGACAUCACACAAAGCAGGUGAGGCCCUCUCUGACAAGGUCCCAUCAGAGGUGCACGGUCUGGUCCUUUUUGUCUGCUUGCUCAUCACCUCAGCUGCUUCAGCUCCUCAGUGGAAGAUUUUCAGACCCUUCUAAUUAUGCUUGCAUUUAACAGACCUCUACCAAGCUACUGUUCAGGAGAACAGCCACAACAAACCAGUGCCAGUCUGCCAGUUCAGGCAACAGGCUUGCUUGCUGUGAGGAUAUUUGCCUUUCCCUAGCACCAAGAUCACCAACGGUUAACUGCCCUAUAAAAUAGGCCAUCUUUCUUCUACUGACCUUCUGACUGGGCUCUCCGUAACUAUGAAGACUGGCAUUCUUAUUUACCAUUUUCUUAUCUGAGACUUUUGCUAGAGGGAAUUCAGUCUUUACUCUGAUACUGAACUCAUGGAUUACAGUCUUCUGCAAGAUAUUCAGAUUCAAAUUCAAGUUAUCUCAAAUGCUCUCCUUUCUCCUGAGACCCACUGCCCUGAAAAAUAU
ensembl:lncRNA